rnacentral:rRNA from 1 species
ACGGGUCAGCAUCAGUUUCAACCGAGAGAAAAAGGCUUGGGGAAUGUGGCUGUCUUCGGGCAGUGUUAUAGCCUCUUGUCAUAUGUCUCGGUCGGGACUGAGGACUGCAGCGCGCCUUACGGCCGGGGUUCGCGCCCUCGGUACGCGCUUAGGAUGCUGGCAUAAUGGCUUUAAGCG